UACGUAGGGGGCGAGCGUUGUCCGGAAUCAUUGGGCGUAAAGCGCGUGUAGGCGGCCCGGUAAGUCCGCUGUGAAAGUCCAGGGCUCAACCCUGGGAUGCCGGUGGAUACUGUCGGGCUCGAGUCCGGAAGAGGCGAGUGGAAUUCCUGGUGUAGCGGUGAAAUGCGCAGAUAUCAGGAGGAACACCAAUGGCGAAGGCAGCUCGCUGGGACGUGACUGACGCUGAGACACGAAAGUGUGGGGAGCGAACAGG
rnacentral:rRNA from 1 species